UUCUCUUUGUCCCCAUGUGGUGUGCUUUGUAGAGUAGUUGUAGGAAGAGGAGGAGUGGUGGUAAGGGUAAGGUUUUUGUAGUUAUGAAUAGUGUUGAUGGCAAGGUGAGUGUAGUAGUAGUAGUAGUAGUAGUAGGGUUAGGAAUUAUUGUAAUACUAACUGUACUACUGCAAGCAAUAUUGAUGGUAAGGUAAAAGUAGUAGUAGUUGGAGGAGGAAGAGGAAGAGGAGAAAAAUGUAAUGCUGGCUAUAAAAUUCUGGCCACAAGCAAUAUUGAUAACAAGGUAAUAGUGUAGUGCUGGGAAAUUAAUUAUGUAUAUUUCUACUUUUUUCCUAGGCUAAGGCCCAUGUAAUGUGCCAGGAUGACCAGAAUCUCAGUACCAUGUGACUAACUCCCCCCCCUUCCCCUCCUCUCCUCAGUGUCCUUUUGUCCUUGCUUUCCCCCCCCCCCCUCUCAGCGUCACUGUGUUGACCACUUCUAUAACAAAAUUUACCCCGUGAAUAAACGUAAUUUCUCCUGCUUGGCCAGGUUAUAGAGGCGAAUUUUUCACCUAAUCCCAGAGAAUGGGGAGCCCUUAAUACGAUAAAAUUAGUUCUAUAAUGGUAAGGUCUUAAACCAGCUCAAACAAAUCCCAGAUAAUUACGCCGCGCCAAUGAGGUUGACGAAUCUGAUAAGUCUUCUUUGCUUCGCUGCCCUGUCACCCCUGUUGCUACGCAAGCCGGGAAGAGAUACCAGACUUUGACUAAUUCCCCAAUUGAUUUCAAAAGUCCAUUGAAUUAAACUUCUUAAAGUAACAACUAUAAAGUAAACAGUAACUUAAUUAUUCAUAUUUUUCAUCCCUGAACUCACAACCUAGUCGCCCCCCCCCCCUACUAAAAACAAAAUUAUAACUUAAUAAAUUUCCCCAUUGGAAACCUUUAUCCUUAGUUUCCCGCCGAUUUCCUCACAAGCAAAGCCAGUCUCUCUCGGAUUCUCCUCAGACCCUCUUGGAUUCCCCUCAGAUAUUCCUGUUGAUAAACUAUUUCUGAGUGGAUAGAUAUUCGCAUUUUUUCGUUCUGUUUUUGUUGGUUUUCUCCACGGGACUAGUGAAACCACCUGGUUCGAGAUCACCGUGUGAGACUGUCCUCAGGUCUAUACAUACUUUUUGGGUAUAUAUUUGUUAUUUAUUUAUUUAUUCUCUGGUCUCCCCCACAACUCAGUAGUCGCGAAAA